rnacentral:rRNA from 1 species
UACGUAGGGGGCAAGCGUUGUCCGGAAUCAUUGGGCGUAAAGCGCGUGUAGGCGGUCCGAUAAGUCGAUUGUGAAAGUCCAGGGCUCAACCCUGGGAUGCCGACCGAUACUGUCGGACUAGAGUUCGGAAGAGGCGAGUGGAAUUCCCGGUGUAGCGGUGAAAUGCGCAGAUAUCGGGAGGAACACCAAUGGCGAAGGCAGCUCGCUGGGACGUUACUGACGCUGAGACGCGAAAGCGUGGGGAGCAAACAGG